UACGGGGGGGGCAAGCGUUGUUCGGAAUUACUGGGCGUAAAGGGCUCGUAGGCGGCCAACUAAGUCAGACGUGAAAUCCCUCGGCUUAACCGGGGAACUGCGUCUGAUACUGGAUGGCUUGAGGUUGGGAGAGGGAUGCGGAAUUCCAGGUGUAGCGGUGAAAUGCGUAGAUAUCUGGAGGAACACCGGUGGCGAAGGCGGCAUCCUGGACCGACAUUGACGCUGAGGAGCGAAAGCUAGGGGAGCAAACGGG
rnacentral:rRNA from 1 species